CAGUAGCCGCGGUAAUACGAAGGGGGCUAGCGUUGCUCGGAAUGACUGGGCGUAAAGGGCGCGUAGGCGGCGCAGAUAGUCAGAUGUGAAGUUCCCGGGCUUAACCUGGGGACUGCAUUUGAUACGUCUGUGCUUGAGUGUGGAAGAGGGUCGUGGAAUUCCCAGUGUAGAGGUGAAAUUCGUAGAUAUUGGGAAGAACACCGGUGGCGAAGGCGGCAACCUGGCUCAUUACUGACGCUGAGGCGCGAAAGCGUGGGGAGCAAACAGGAUUAGAUACCCCAGUAGUCCCUGUCUCUUAUAC
rnacentral:rRNA from 1 species